CAUCAUUAGCAGAGUAAUGAUUCUAAGCUUUGAUAACAGUAACUAUCACAUCUAAUACUAUUCUAGUUCCAAGAGUGUCAUUUAUGUCAAAAUUGAUACCUAUGUAUUGUUUUUUUUUGGUCUUAUGUACUUUUACUUUUUUUAUCACUAAGUUGCUUUGGGAUAUCAUUGGUACUUAAAGAUCAGUUUCUUUUGUAGGCUUCAUGAACAGUUGACUGAGUCAGAACAGGCUGCCCAGUGUUACAUCAAAUAUAUCCAAGAUAUCUAUUCCUGUGGGGUAUGUAUCAUACCAUGAGAAUUGUACUGCUGAUAUUAUUACUGUCACCUCAGUAAUUUUGCUUUCCCUUUCUAGGAAAUAGUAGAACACUUGGAGGAAAGCACUGCCUUUCGCUAUCUGGCCCAGUACUAUUUUAAGUGCAAACUGUGGGAUGAAGCUUCAACUUGUGCACAAAAGUGUUGUGCAUUUAAUGAUACCCGGGAAGAAGGUAAGGCCUUACUCCGGCAAAUCCUACAGCUUCGGAACCAAGGCGAGACUCCUACCACCGAGGUGCCUGCUCCCUUUUUCCUACCUGCUUCACUCUCUGCUAACAAUACCCCCACACGCAGAGUUUCUCCACUCAACUUGUCUUCUGUC
rnacentral:sRNA from 1 species